rnacentral:rRNA from 1 species
UGGGGAAUAUUGCACAAUGGGCGCAAGCCUGAUGCAGCAACGCCGCGUGAGGGACGACGGCCUUCGGUUGUAAACCUCUUUUAGUAGGGAAGAAGCGAAAGUGACGGUACCUGCAGAAAAAGCACCGGCUAACUACGUGCCAGCAGCCGCGGUAAUACGUAGGGUGCGAGCGUUGUCCGGAAUUAUUGGGCGUAAAGAGCUCGUAGGCGGUCUGCCGCGUCUGCUGUGAAAAGCCCCGAGGCUCAACCUCGGGCCUGCAGUGGGUACGGGCAGACUAGAGUGCGGUAGGGGAGAAUGGAAUUCCUGGUGUAGCGGUGGAAUGCGCAGAUAUCAGGAGGAACACCGAUGGCGAAGGCAGUUCUCUGGGCCGUAACUGACGCUGAGGAGCGAAAGCGUGGGGAGCGAACAGGAUUAGAUACCCUGGUAGUCCACGCCGUAAACGUUGGGCGCUAGAUGUGGGGCACCAUUCCACGGUUUCCGUGUCGCAGCUAACGCAUUAAGCGCCCCGCCUGGGGCAGUACGGCCGCAAGGCU